rnacentral:rRNA from 1 species
GACGAACGCUGGCGGCGUGCCUAAUACAUGCAAGUAGAACGCUGAAGGAGGAGCUUGCUCUUCUGGAUGAGUUGCGAACGGGUGAGUAACGCGUAGGUAACCUGCCUGGUAGCGGGGGAUAACUAUUGGAAACGAUAGCUAAUACCGCAUAACAGUAGAUGUUGCAUGACAUUUGCUUAAAAGGUGCAAUUGCAUCACUACCAGAUAGACCUGCGCUGUAUUAGCUAGUUGGUGGGGUAACGGCUCACCAAGGCGACGAUACAUAGCCGACCUGAGAGGGUGAUCGGCCACACUGGGACUGGGACACGGCCCAGACUCCUACGGGAGGCAGCAGUAGGGAAUCUUCGGCAAUGGACGGAAGUCUGACCGAGCAACGCCGCGUGAGUGAAGAAGGUUUUCGGAUCGUAAAGCUCUGUUGUAAGAGAAGAACGAGUGUGAGAGUGGAAAGUUCACACUGUGACGGUAUCUUACCAGAAAGGGACGGCUA